UCUCUCUCUCUCUCUGUAUAUAAAUGCAGCUUACGCUUCCACAGUCCAGAAGAAGAAGAGUGGCUUCCUGAUCCAUUAUGGUAUAUGUGGGGUGCUGCGAGUCAAGUUGUUGAGAGAAGUGAAAUAUAGAUAGGGAAGAAGUGAGCAGGAGAUCAUUGAGUUAUAUAAUUAAGUAAAAUAGAUAAAGAGAGAGGAGAGGGAAGGUAGCUGGGUAGGUAUAGGGUAGAGGAUGAAGAAGACGAUUGCCAGCAGCGGCACUUCGACCAAACCAGAUAGGAAAACCAUCGAGAGGGAUCGCAGAAUUCACAUGAAACGCCUCUGUUUUAAGCUUACGAACCUCAUUCCUUCUCACUUCGUUCAACACUCCAAGGACAUCCUAUCACAGCCAGAUCAGCUUGACAUUGCUGCCACCUACAUAAAGCAACUGAAAGAAAGAAUAGAAGAACUGAAGUCGAGGAAGAAUGAGGCAAUGGAGAAUAGUGAUAAAGGAGCGACAAAGGAAGGCAAUAAUAGUAGGCAACAGAUGAUGGGCUUCAAAUUGCCUGUGAUUGAGUUAAGAGACUUGGGAUCCACUCUGGACGUCAUGUUAGUCAGUGGGUUGAAGCAGAACUUCAUGUUGUAUGACGUCAUUAGGGUUCUUGAGGAAGAGGGAAAUCAAGUUGUGAGUGCUAGCUUUUCUACUGUGGGUGAUAAGGUCUUCUACUCACUCCAUGCCCAAGCAAUAAUUUCUAGAGUUGGAGUGGAGACUACAAGGGUAUACCAGAGACUGGAGGAAUUAAUUCAAUGAAAUGUUCAGCAAUUUGUUCGAAGUUCUUUCAGCAGCUGCACCACAGGGAGUUGUGCUGGAUUCUGGGAAGAUGGCACGGAAACCUUUGCAAUAUAUGAGAGAUGAAAUGAUGGUCCAUUAAUUUUAACACAUACAUAAGGAAGUAGCGAUGGAAGCUUACAGGACUUAAAUACUAUACGAUCAAGCGCAUUCCAGGAAGUCAGAAGAGCAAAAUGACGAAGAAGAAGUUUAUUUUAUGUGAUUACAUUUAAUUUUUAUAUCUCUGAUUUGUAAUAAUGCAUGCAUCUGCAUGAUGUGUUUGAAUGCUCAGAAUAACUGUAGAUAGACCCUAGGGACUAGCACAUCUUACCAAAUUUUUUUUUUCUAAAAAGAGUAAAAUCAUACAAAGUUUUUGGAAUAGCUUUAGGGUUAAAAUCGAGGCUAAACGAAGUUUUCAAAAACGGUAGACCGAAGCCGAAUUUUUUCGAUGUCCUAAAGAAGACCUAAACUGACCUUAAGACUCCCUAUACUUCAUAAAAAUAUGUCAUAUUUUCUUAAAUUUAAUCAUCAUAUGAAUAGGGUUUAUAUACAAAAGGAUUAUAACAAUGCAUGUUUAGUCGACCAACUGGAAUGUAUAAAAGCAUUUGGUUGACCGAACUAGUCAGAGGUCAACAUUUUGACCAUAGCACGGUCGACCGAACCUUGCCAAGUUCACACAACUUGGUUGACCGAACUCCCACUGGGUCAAUGCUUUGACUCCUCGGUCAACCGACCAAAAAUAUAUGGGCAAUGCACUGGUCAACUAAACCCCCACGUGGAGAAUCCAACCGCCUGAUCAACCGAACUUCAUAAUUCAAAAUAGAUUGGUCGACCGAACCGCGCGAGUUUGGAAAUCGCCUCAAAUCUAGUCGACCGAACUUAGAGUUCAAAAAUUUCCUAGUCAACCAAACUUGGCUCCACUAUCAACCGAACCACAAAAGUGGCUGACUGGAGCUCUCGGGUUGGAAUUUUUUAAAAGGGUUAAAAUGUCAUUAAAAUUUAAUUAAUCUUUUCCAAAAUACCGAGCGUGUCCCCAACGGUCAAAAUUUUUAGAAAAUCUAUAAACACCCCAUCAUAACUCCAUACUAACAGUUUUGAUUAAUUCAAAUCUUCUCUAUAAUUCAUUGUUAAUCAAAGUUCCCCCAAAAUGUUUUUUAAUGUUUAAAUCAUUCUUUUGGGGCAAAAAUUUUUAAACAAAUCUCUCCAACUCUUGUUCACUUGUUUUAUCUAAAAAUCAUUUUUAAAGAGAAUAUUUUAUUUUGGGCAUUUUAUUUGUAUAUACAUGCAUAUACUCUCACUUGUUAUUUAUCUUUUAAAAUCAAUUUUUGAGAGUAUUGCUUGCAUUUCUCUCAGUUAUUUAUUUGAUAAAUAUUUUAGGAGAAAUUAUUUAUAGCACAAAUACUUUAUUGAGUUUAAAUUCCUAGAUUCUCCAAAUUUUAUUUAUUUGCAAAAAUAUUUACAUGAGCACAUAAUACUCAUAUUUUCAUACAUAUAUUUGUGCAUUUGAUUAUUUAGGAAUGCAUCCUUACUCUACUGGGUUCAAAUCAUAUCAUAAGAGAGUGCAUACAUUUUAGAGCUUUAUUGUGUACAUUUCUGCUUGUAUUUUAGAAGCAUUAUUAUAUGUACAAAAAUAUUUUAUUGUAUGGUUGGGUUCAUCCUGUUAAUUGAAUUGGGGAGUCUCGGCCCCAUAAAUAAAA